UCCGGUUUGUCACCGGCGGUCCCCUUAGAGUUCCCACCUAAAUGCUGGCAACUAAGGGCAAGGGUUGCGCUCGUUGCGGGACUUAACCCAACAUCUCACGACACGAGCUGACGACAGCCAUGCAGCACCUGUGCUGGUACCCGACUCUACGGGUCGCCGACCCUUUCGGGCACACCUCCAUCUCUGGAGGCUUCCGUACAUGUCAAGGGUAGGUAAGGUUUUUCGCGUUGCAUCGAAUUAAUCCACAUAAUCCACCGCUUGUGCGGGUCCCCGUCAAUUCCUUUGAGUUUUAACCUUGCGGCCGUACUCCCCAGGCGGUCAACUUCACGCGUUAGCUUCGUUACCAAGGGAAUCAAUCCCCCGACAACCAGUUGACAUAGUUUAGGGCGUGGACUAC
rnacentral:misc_RNA from 1 species